rnacentral:rRNA from 1 species
GAUGAACGCUAGCUAUAGGCUUAACACAUGCAAGUCGAGGGGCAGCGAAUAGAUAGCUUGCUAUUUAUGUCGGCGACCGGCGCACGGGUGAGUAACGCGUAUCCAACCUGCCCAUAACUAAGGGAUAACCCAGCGAAAGUUGGACUAAUACCUUAUGUAUUCGUUUGAUCUCAUGAGAUUACGAAUAAAGAUUUAUCGGUUAUGGAUGGGGAUGCGUCUGAUUAGCUUGUUGGCGGGGUAACGGCCCACCAAGGCAACGAUCAGUAGGGGUUCUGAGAGGAAGGUCCCCCACAUUGGAACUGAGACACGGUCCAAACUCCUACGGGAGGCAGCAGUGAGGAAUAUUGGUCAAUGGACGCAAGUCUGAACCAGCCAAGUAGCGUGCAGGAUGACGGCCCUAUGGGUUGUAAACUGCUUUUAUAUGGGGAUAAAGUGGGGAACGUGUUCCCUUUUGCAGGUACCAUAUGAAUAAGGACCGGCUAAUUCCGUGCCAGCAGCCGCUGUAAUACGGUAGGUUCGGGCGUUAUCCGGAUUUAUUGGUUUUAAAGGGAGCGUAUGCCGUUUGGUAAGCCUGUUUGUGAAAUGUAGUAUCUCAACUUCUAGAUUGCUGCGCCUACCGUCAGACUUGAGUGUGCACAACUAGGCGGAAUUCAUGGUGUACCUCGAACUGCUUAGAUAUUAUGAACAACUUCGAUUGUCAAUGUCGCUUAUG